CAGCUGCUAUUUCACUUGCUGCUCAGGAAAGAACUACAUAGAACUUUGGAUAUUUUGUCCUAGGAUUUGAACAAAACUGAUUUUAUUGACCUAAGAUGGCAGCAGAUAUCACUAAAUUUACAGUAGUAAUCCUUACUUCAAGUGAGGGUGACCUCGAAUCCAGGAGUCCAUGUGGGACUAAACUAGCUGCAAAGCACUAAGAAGCCAGAGUGACUAGAACUCAAUAUGAAGCAAAGAACUGA